rnacentral:lncRNA from 1 species
GUUGGGAAAUGUGUCCUAAAAAGCCAAUCGUCAAGCUAUUGACGGUUGAGCAACCAAGUAUUGUAAUUGAUUUGUUAAUAAAUAAAAUAUAUUUGGUAUUUUCAUCAUAAGUUUUCAUCUUCUAAUGAACUCCGUUGUUAUGAUGAAGUCCUUAGGACUAUUUAAGUUUGAUAAAGAGAGAAUUUAUCGAUUAGUCCUUAAAACUGUUCACGACCAAAUGAUAGGCUGUUAAUAAGGACGACAGCUUCUAUCGAGCAUAGAUCGCUGUAGGCCAUAUGGGUUGGUUGUCCUCUUAACCAAAGAGUGUGGAGACACUAGUAUGGCAUACAGGUGAGAUAUACUGGUACAUCAUCAUUGAACGUGACCAACUCCAGAGUAUUCUGCUGUCGAGAAUGUCUCUGAUGGGAUAUAGGUAUAAGUGUCCCUUAGACUUGAGAUCGCCUCAGUGACUUGCAAGCAACUCACUGUGCUUUGGUAUUGGACUAACUGAAUUUUUAAUUCA